GGCAGGAUAGCUCAGUUGGUAAGAGCGAAGCACUCAUAACGCUUAGGUCGUGGGUUCAAUUCCCACUCCUGCCA
rnacentral:tRNA from 1 species